UAAUUAAUUUUAACUUUUAUUUCUUUUCUUUAGUUAAAAUUAAAUUAUUAUAAAAUGAAAAUUAUUAGAAAAGAAAUAAAAAGAAAAUAAUCCUCCUGAAUGCAUUUCCUGAAGAAAUGCAAUCUCUUGCUCCUGAAGAGCAAGAGAUUAUUCCUCACCGAGGCUUGAUUCCCCUCUUGAAAGAAAGAAGCUGACAAAAGAUUAACCGUUCACGAGAAC
rnacentral:ribozyme from 1 species